AUAUAUUUGUCUUUGGUUGUUGUGUUCAACCUCCCUUGCUGCAGACAUCAUGUCUUAUCUAUGCCAAUGUUUACAUUAGCUGCAUUCUUUAGCUCAGGCUUGAGUGACUAGAGUACAGAGAGAAAAAAAAUGUGUCUGUCUUUUUGUAUUCUGUUACAAAAUGGAGUCAUUUCUGUACUGAUGGUGACUUACGGUAUACACUUUUGAUUUCUGUCUUAACACAAAAUGUCUGCCAGUAUAAAUAUACAGACAGCACGCCAGCUGAGUGAGCUUGCAUCCAAAUAAAUGAAUAAGUCCCAAGCUGCACCAAAAAUUGCUUUGCCCUCCCAGGUUUCGAUAUGUAGGAACCACCAGGAGAGUUCUUCUGCAGCCUUACAGUUGAUCGGAAUGAUAUGAUCGGAAGUGAAUCCUUGAUGCAGAUAGCAGACUGAUCAUCUUUGCUAGGUGACAUAUCGUGAUCAUAAUUCAAGUCCGAACCUUUCUGAUAUCUUUCUUGAUGGUUUUGAUAUUGGAGGAUGGUAGAUGCAGAGAGCUUUGAACAGUAUUCAUGGUAAACCCAAGGAAUUCCAUUUUUUGCAAUGUGGUGAGGAUUGACUUUUCCCAGUUAAGGAGAAAUCCUAGAAAGAGGUUUCUGAGGAAGCCCGGUGAUUUUAGAAGAAUAAGUCUGAUCAAUCCUUUGUUGGCGGACUUCUUGAGAAACUAGAUGUUUGUCUUGUUUGUAGAAUUAGAUUGUAUAUGUGGCAGACACCUGGAUUAGGGUUGUUAGGAGCUCUAUGCAGUAUCUCAUCAUGGUCUGGAAGAUCCAUGCAUUUGUGGUCAAGGAUCUCUAUGCACUUUGAAAAAGCAUUAAUCUGCCCCUUACUUUUGCAUGGGAAGAAGAUAGAAUUAACAAUUGAUUAUGUCAGCUUUGAGGAUUGCCUAUGGUGCCUUGAUUCUGCCAAGGGCAGUAAUUUGCUGGGGAAGAAAGUAGAUGAGGAUUGUUUUGUUUCUUGGAAUGUCCAGAUCCUUGGGUUCUACAAAAUACACCUCUAAUAGAUCAGCUGGCCAGAUAGCCCUGUGUUCUACCGGCUUUCCUAAAACCUUAUUAUAAGUUAAACACCUGUGCAUGUUAGAUUCUGCCUCAUCUAGGGUCAUAAAGGUGCUUACAAAGGUGCCCAACUGUUUGGCAAAGAUCUCUCUGAACAGGAGUCUAUCACCUGGGGUCCAGGUUCAGAGGUGGCAAGGUUAACGAGCUUAGGCUCUAUCUGUGGUAAAAUAGCCUUGCAUUGUUGGUGGCAAUAAGGCAAGCAAUGCGUUGUAUCUACCCUGUAAUAAUUAGAAGGUCUACUGAAGUGCCCUCAGAGAGAGCAGACUCAACCAUUUCAAAUAUUUUAUUUCUGAGGCCAAGAAUAUCCAAGACUUUUAUCAAUUGCAUAGAGAGAAAUCUAAGUCUGUUCUGGCUUUUCAGACAUUUUAUUUUUUCAGGAAUUGGGCAAACUUAGGGUCUAUCUCAGGGGUAGUGCGGACUUAGUAAGGUACAGUGGGUCUUGGACAUUCAGCCCUGAGUUUGUUUCAAGUGGCCUUGUCAAGUGGUUUGCAUAUUCGCAGGGCCAAAUAUUUGGUCACAUGUUCUGUGGGGAGCCAAUCUGCUGACCGUGGAUGGUGUAAAUUAGGGCUGUCCAACCUAAGGUAAUGCGAGAGCUACAUGACAAAACAAGAUUUUUCUGAGCGCUUCAUGUAAAGAUAUAAAUUCAUUACAUACUUUAUAGUAUUUAUUAAAAAAAGAGCAUUACAUUUUUUAUGAAUAAAUAUUUUUUAAUGCAAUAAAAAAAAAUAACUGGUGACACAUUUCAGCAUAUUUUGUGUGCUUGAAUGUAUGUAUUUGUGUGUAGUGUUCGCAUUCGAAUGCAGUUUGUAUGUACUGUUGCUAUUUUAAAGCACUGGCAUACUUGUGUUUAGUAUUUGUGUGUGAAUUUGUUUGUAUGUAGAGUUGGCAUUUCAUUGCUGGGAUCUAUGCACAUACAAUGCCUUGCAAAUAGAUACUGAAACACACACAAAUACAUACACUCACACACACACACACACACACACACACAGAUACACACACACACACACUGACACACACAGAUACACACUGACUUAUACACACACUAACACACACAGAUACACACUGACUGAGUUUGGUUCCUCAACACCAGGUAACUCUGUGUCCCUUGAUAUGGGUUGUGCACUGGAACAAGGAUGGAUAGAACAAAAAUACCUAAAUUUGGUGAUACUGACAGCCCCACAUGUGGAAAUUCUGAUAGUCGAUAUUCAGUGAUUCUCCGAGUUAGUUCAACAUUUAGUGAUUCCUAGUUACUCCCAGAUAAUGUGAUACUGACAUUUAGUCCCACAUUUGGAGAAAUUUAAGAUCAGUUUAUAAUUUCUAUACAUGGGUGCUAUACGUGUGUCAUUCAAUUCUCAGUCACUGUUAGUAAAUUGGGGCUCAUUUCUUUCAAAUACACAAGGAAUAAGUUUUGCAUUCCACUGAGAAUUCUGAUUUUUAUUAAGCUUGGCAACAAUCAGAUAUAUGUAGUAGUCCACAACAACUUGAAUACCAAAGCCUAGUCCUCACUGCGUGAAGUCACGUGUGUCUGUGACCUUCAGUGAGUCCAAUAAAUCUUCACAUAUGAGACACCCAUGCCUUAGACUGCAAGCUCCUAGGAGCAGGAUUGUUAUAUGGCUUUUUUAUUUUGUACCAUCUACUCAGUAUAUGUGUAUUCUCAUUUCAAAUACUCAAAAAUAUAUAUAUCUAUGUAAUCUUUCCAAUGGAAUAAAGAAACAUUAACAAUAU
rnacentral:lncRNA from 1 species